rnacentral:rRNA from 1 species
ACGAACGCUGGCGGCGUGCUUAACACAUGCCAGUCGAACGGAAAGGCCCUGCUUUUGUGGGGUGCUCGAGUGGCGAACGGGUGAGUAACACGUGAGUAACCUGCCCUUGACUUUGGGAUAACUUCAGGAAACUGGGGCUAAUACCGGAUAGGAGCUCCUGCUGCAUGGUGGGGGUUGGAAAGUUUCGGCGGUUGGGGAUGGACUCGCGGCUUAUCAGCUUGUUGGUGGGGUAGUGGCUUACCAAGGCUUUGACGGGUAGCCGGCCUGAGAGGGUGACCGGCCACAUUGGGACUGAGAUACGGCCCAGACUCCUACGGGAGGCAGCAGUGGGGAAUAUUGCACAAUGGGCGGAAGCCUGACGCAGCAACGCCGCGUGCGGGAUGACGGCCUUCGGGUUGUAAACCGCUUUCGCCUGUGACGAAGCGUGAGUGACGGUAAUGGGUAAAGAAGCACCGGCUAACUACGUG